UGGUGAUCUGAUUGAUCGUGGAGAAAAGCCGAUUCUUCUUCUAAAGAGCACCUUUAAUUUGAAUGUGAUACACUUAGACCUAGUAGAGCGACAUUUAAUGAUAACCCUACAGUUUUGAUAAAAAGUCUUUAAAUACGAACAUCAAAUUCCAAUUAUAGCAGUUAUCAACAUGACUAAACUACUAUACCUAGUGUUCAUACUAUCGAUCUUCCAUUUUUCUGCAGCCAACAACCAACAAGACUGCUUAAAAGAGACAGACACCGCUUACGAAAACUUACACAAGGCUUUUGAUGAAUUUCAAAUCUCUAUCGAAAUCUGACACUGACCGAGACUGCGAGAAAUGAAAUAGCCAGGCUGGCCCAAUCUGGCAUCUUUAACUUAAAUUUUGAAGGAAAUGAACAAGUAGACGCCAUUCGUCUGGUAAACAACAUUAAACAGGGAUUUUUGGUAUUACUUUUGCUGAUAGAGAAAAAGGUAAAGACAUUUUGGAAAUCAUCAUGGAAUAAACUGUGUUUGUUAUACGCGAGUACAGGUUAAUAUACAGUGUGUCUAUUUGA